CCCUUCCCAACAACAACACCAAGUUCUCUCUCUCUCUCUCUCUCUCUCUCCUCCUCCCUCUGUCUCUCGCUGGUAAUCAUUUCAGCUAUCAUCGCUCACCACCCUCGCUCAGCGAGACUUGAGGGGAAGAAAGAACAAGAAGCAGGAAGCUUUUCCUUUGCGGGGAAUGUUGUCUGGGUCGAGGAAUCUACCAAACUAGAGAGAUAGAUGGAUAGAUCUGCUAUCUUCUUUUCCCUUCUUUUACGUUUGGUGAUCUCGGACCAGGCUUCAUUCCCCCCAAUCAUAGCUUCCGUCUUCGGCAAUCAUGAGUUUUCCGAGAUCCAUGCACAGGUUAGAGAGGAGAAGCAGAUUGGUGUAAUGAUGAUGCUUCUGUCUUUCUUUUGCCGUUCUUCUGAACUGACAGGACCACCAAAAGGGUUUCAUCAUUAUCUUAUCAUUACCACCGCAAGCCAUCUCUCCCUUCCUCUUUUCUUCCCCGGAUCUACCACCACACCUCAACAUAGAUGACCCUAAUCCUCGAUGAUCUCGUCAAAGAUCGUCUUGUAAGCUCUCGUAGAUCUUCUCCAAAGAUCGACAGUGAUCUAUCUGUAUGUUCACUACCACAUGUAGGUUUGUCGAUCACAUAACCUCUUGUGGCCUCCUCACAUCAUCAACCUUCUUCCCACAUCUCUCUCAUCCACUUCUUUUCCGGCUCAUUUUCAUCUUUCUCAUGCCUAAAGAAAUGAUAUAUCAUACAUAUAUCUCGUUCUCUCUAACCCCCUGAAAACCUGCAGAUCCAUAUGUCCGUUCUUAUAUAUAGAUUCUGUGCCUCAUUUCUGAUUCUCGAGUCACGUUUCAGAUGGGUCUGUAUUGAUCGAAAACUAGGAGAUGUUACCCUACUGCUCCA